CGGCGGACGGGUGAGUACCACGUGGAUAACCUACCUAUAAGACUGGGAUAACUUCGGGAAACCGGAGCUAAUACCGGAUAAUAUAUUGAACCGCAUGGUUCAAUAGUGAAAGACGGUUUUGCUGUCACUUAUAGAUGGAUCCGAGCCGCAUUAGCUAGUUGGUAAGGUAACGGCUUACCAAGGCGACGAUGCGUAGCCGACCUGAGAGGGUGAUCGGCCACACUGGAACUGAGACACGGUCAAG
rnacentral:rRNA from 1 species